UUACGGCCAUAUCACGUUGAAACAACCGGUUCUCGUCCGAUCACCGAAGUUAAGCAACGUCGAGCCUGGUCAGUACUUAGAUGGGUGACCGCUUGGGAAUACCAGGUGCUGUAA
rnacentral:rRNA from 1 species